rnacentral:rRNA from 1 species
UGGGGAAUUUUGGACAAUGGGGGAAACCCUGAUCCAGCCAUCCCGCGUGUGCGAUGAAGGCCUUCGGGUUGUAAAGCACUUUUGGCAGGAAAGAAACGUCAUGGGUUAAUACCCCGUGAAACUGACGGUACCUGCAGAAUAAGCACCGGCUAACUACGUGCCAGCAGCCGCGGUAAUACGUAGGGUGCAAGCGUUAAUCGGAAUUACUGGGCGUAAAGCGUGCGCAGGCGGUUCGGAAAGAAAGAUGUGAAAUCCCAGAGCUCAAAUUCGGAACUGCAUUUUUAACUACCGGGCCAGAGUGUGUCAGAGGGAGGUGGAAUUCCGCGUGUAGCAGUGAAAUGCAUAGCUCUGCGGAGGAACACCGAUGGCGAAGGCAGCCUCCUGGGAUAACACUGACGCUCAUGCACGAAAGCGUGGGGAGCAAACAGG